AACGCUAGCUACAGGCUUAACACAUGCAAGUCGAGGGGCAGCAUGGGGUUUGCUUGCAAACCCUGAUGGCGACCGGCGCACGGGUGAGUAACGCGUAUCCAACCUUCCCGUCACUCGGGGACAGCCCAGCGAAAGCUGGAUUAACCCCCGAUGUUGUCAUAUGAUAGCAUUAGAGUGUGACGAAAGGCUAACGGUGACGGAUGGGGAUGCGUCUGAUUAGGUAGUAGGCGGGGUAACGGCCCACCUAGCCGACGAUCAGUAGGGGUUCUGAGAGGAAGGUCCCCCACAUUGGAACUGAGACACGGUCCAAACUCCUACGGGAGGCAGCAGUGAGGAAUAUUGGUCAAUGGGCGAGAGCCUGAACCAGCCAAGUAGCGUGCAGGAUGACGGCCCUACGGGUUGUAAACCUCUUUUAUAAGGGAAUAAAAUACGGGACGUGUCCUGUUUUGCAUGUACCUUAUGAAUAAGGACCGGCUAAUUCCGUGCCAGCAGCCGCGGUAAUACGGAAGGUCCGGGCGUUAUCCGGAUUUAUUGGGUUUAAAGGGAGCGUAGGCCGGAGAUUAAGCGUGUUGUGAAAUGUAGAUGCUCAACGUCUGCACUGCAGCGCGAACUGGUUUCCUUGAGUACGCACAAAGUGGGCGGAAUUCGUGGUGUAGCGGUGAAAUGCUUAGAUAUCACGAAGAACUCCGAUUG
rnacentral:rRNA from 1 species